rnacentral:rRNA from 1 species
GAUGAACGCUGGCGGCGUGCCUAAUACAUGCAAGUCGAGCGAACGGACGAGAAGCUUGCUUCUCUGAUGUUAGCGGCGGACGGGUGAGUAACACGUGGAUAACCUACCUAUAAGACUUGGAUAACUUCGGGAAACCGGAGCUAAUACCGGAUAAUAUUUUGAACCGCAUGGUUCAAAAGUGAAAGACGGUCUUGCUGUCACUUAUAGAUGGAUCCGCGCUGCAUUAGCUAGUUGGUAAGGUAACGGCUUACCAAGGCAACGAUGCAUAGCCGACCUGAGAGGGGGAUCGGCCACACUGGAACUGAGACACGGUCCAGACUCCUACGGGAGGCAGCAGUAGGGAAUCGUCCGCAGUGGGCGAAAGCCUGACGGAGCAACGCCGCGUGAGUGAUGAAGGUCUUCGGAUCGUAAAACUCUGUUAUUAGGGAAGAACAUAUGUGUAAGUAACUGUGCACAUCUUGACGGUACCUAAUCAGAAAGCCACGGCUAACUACGUG